UGGGGAAUAUUGCACAAUGGGCGAAAGCCUGAUGCAGCGACGCCGCGUGAGGGAUGACGGCCUUCGGGUUGUAAACCUCUUUCAGCAGGGACGAAGCGCAAGUGACGGUACCUGCAGAAGAAGCACCGGCUAACUACGUGCCAGCAGCCGCGGUAAUACGUAGGGUGCAAGCGUUGUCCGGAAUUACUGGGCGUAAAGAGUUCGUAGGCGGUUUGUCGCGUCGUUUGUGAAAACCAGCAGCUCAACUGCUGGCUUGCAGGCGAUACGGGCAGACUUGAGUACUGCAGGGGAGGCUGGAAUUCCUGGUGUAGCGGUGAAAUGCGCAGAUAUCAGGAGGAACACCGGUGGCGAAGGCGGGUCUCUGGGCAGUAACUGACGCUGAGGAACGAAAGCGUGGGUAGCGAACAGG
rnacentral:rRNA from 1 species